CCUGUUUAUCAAAAACAUCGCCUUUAGCCCCACAAGUAUUAAAGGUCCCGCCUGCCCAGUGAAGCAUUUUCAACGGCCGCGGUAUCCUAACCGUGCAAAGGUAGCGUAAUCACUUGCCCCUUAAAUAGAGGCCUGUAUGAACGGCUAACUGAGGGCACACCUGUCUCCUGAGGCCAACUAAUGAAACUGAUCUUCUGGUACAAAAGCCAGAAUAUACACACAAGACGAGAAGACCCUGUGGAGCUUAUAACCUACUCACUACCAACUUACCCUAGUGAACAGUUUAAGUUGGGGCGACUACGGAGUACAACAAACCCUCCAAGAAACCAGGCUAACACCCCGCCCCUAGGCACACACGCCGACAACACCCCUAUUUGACCCAGUACCACUGACCACCGAACCAAGUUACCCCAGGGAUAACAGCGCCAUCCCCCUCUAGAGUCCGUAUCACCAGGGGGGUUUACGACCUCGAUGUUGGAUCAGGACACCCCGGCGGUGCAGCCGCUGCCAA
rnacentral:rRNA from 1 species